rnacentral:rRNA from 1 species
AUUGAACGCUGGCGGCAUGCUUUACACAUGCAAGUCGAACGGUAACAGGCCGCAAGGUGCUGACGAGUGGCGAACGGGUGAGUAAUGCAUCGGAACGUGCCCAGUCGUGGGGGAUAACGCAGCGAAAGCCGUGCUAAUACCGCAUACGAUCUAUGGAUGAAAGCGGGGGACCGUAAGGCCUCGCGCGAUUGGAGCGGCCGAUGUCAGAUUAGGUAGUUGGUGGGGUAAAGGCCCACCAAGCCAACGAUCUGUAGCUGGUCUGAGAGGGCGACCAGCCACACUGGGACUGAGACACGGCCCAGCCUCCUACGGGAGUCAGCAGUGGGGAAUUUUGGACAAUGGGCGCAAGCCUGAUCCAGCAAUGCCGCGUGCAGGAAGAAGGCCUUCGGGUUGUAAACUGCUUUUGUACGGAACGAAACGGUCUGGGUUAAUACCCUGGGCUAAUGACGGUACCGUAAGAAUAAGCACCGGCUAACUACGUGCCAGCAGCCGCCGUAA